UUUGAUGGCGACCGGCGCACGGGUGAGUAACACGUAUCCAACCUGCCGAUGACUCGGGGAUAGCCUUUCGAAAGAAAGAUUAAUACCCGAUGGCAUAGUUCUUCCGCAUGGUGGAACUAUUAAAGAAUUUCGGUCAUCGAUGGGGAUGCGUUACAUUAGGUUGUUGGCGGGGUAACGGCCCACCAAGCCUUCGAUGGAUAGGGGUUCUGAGAGGAAGGUCCCCCACAUUGGAACUGAGACACGGUCCAAACUCCUACGGGAGGCAGCAUG
rnacentral:rRNA from 1 species